UACGGGGGGAGCAAGCGUUGUUCGGAUUUACUGGGCGUAAAGGGCGCGUAGGCGGCCACCGCAAGUCGGUUGUGAAAUCUCCGGGCUUAACCCGGAAAGGUCAAUCGAUACUGCGGGGCUAGAGUGCAGAAGGGGCAACUGGAAUUCUCGGUGUAGCGGUGAAAUGCGUAGAUAUCGGAAGGAACGCCGGUGGCGAAAGCGAGCUGCUGGACCUUUUCUGACGCUGAGGCGCGAAAGCCAGGGGAGCAAACGGG
rnacentral:rRNA from 1 species